GACAUGUGGCUUGAAACAUUAUACCGACGGAUGGCUUACUGCCGCAGAAAAGCUAGAUUAGAUGGAGUCGGAUUAGACGAAAGAAGACAGAAAAUGGACAUAUGUUCGAUUUGGGUUUUGGCAGGGAAACAAGGAGGUAUACUAAUGGAAAAUAUACAAUUUGAAGUAAACCUACAAAGUCUAUACGUCUUAAACUAGCGAAAAUGUUAAGUAUUAUGAAUAU
ensembl:ncRNA T02E9.13 ncRNA